UACGUAGGGGGCAAGCGUUGUCCGGAAUUACUGGGCGUAAAGGGCGCGUAGGCGGCCUUGUAAGUCCUGUGUGAAAUCCCCCGGCUCAACUGGGGAACUGCACAGGAGACUGCUUGGCUUGAGUUCGGGAGAGGGAAGCGGAAUUCCGGGGUGGUAGCGGUGAAAUGCGUAGACAUCCGGAGGAACACCGGUGGCGAAGGCGGCU
rnacentral:rRNA from 1 species